rnacentral:rRNA from 1 species
GGGGGAAUCUUCGGCAAUGGACGAAGGUCUGACCGAGCAACGCCGCGUGAGUGAAGAAGGUUUUCGGAUCGUAGAACUCUGUUGUUAGAGGAGAACAAGGGUGAGAGUAACUGUUCACCCCUUGACGGUAUCUAACCAGAAAGCCACGGCUAACUACGUACCAG